rnacentral:rRNA from 1 species
AGAGUUUGAUCAUGGCUCAGGAUGAACGCUAGCGGCAGGCUUAACACAUGCAAGUCGAGGGGCAGCACGGGUAGCAAUAUCUGGUGGCGACCGGCGCAAGGGUGCGUAACGCGUGAGCAACAUGCCCGUAUCAGGGGAAUAAUCCAGGGAAACUUGGUCUAAUACCCCAUAGUAAAUAUUAAAGGCAUCUUUAAUAUUUUAAAGCUUUGGUGGAUACGGAUUGGCUCGCGUGACAUUAGCUGGAUGGUAAGGUAACGGCUUACCAUGGCUACGAUGUCUAGGGGUUCUGAGAGGAAGAUCCCCCACACUGGAACUGAGACACGGUCCAGACUCCUACGGGAGGCAGCAGUGAGGAAUAUUGGACAAUGGAUGGAAAUCUGAUCCAGCCAUGCCGCGUGCAGGAAGACGGCCCUAUGGGUUGUAAACUGCUUUUAUAUGGGAGCAAUAAGACCUACGUGUAGGUUGAUGAGAGUACCAUAUGAAUAAGCACCGGCUAACUCCGUGCCAGCAGCCGCGGUAAUACGGAGGGUGCAAGCGUUAUCCGGAUUUAUUGGGUUUAAAGGGUGCGUAGGCGGUUUGAUAAGUCAGCGGUGAAAUAUUUCAGCUUAACUGGAAGGGUGCCGUUGAUACUGUCAGGCUUGAAUUUAGUUGCUGUGGGUGGAAUGUGUGGUGUAGCGGUGAAAUGCAUAGAUAUCACACAGAAUAUCGAUUGCGAAGGCAGCUCACAAAGCUAAUAUUGACGCUGAUGCACGAAAGUGUGGGGAUCAAACAGGAUUAGAUACCCUGGUAGUCCACACUGUAAACGAUGAUAACUCGCUGUCGGCGAUACAUAGUCGGUGGCCAAGCGAAAGCGAUAAGUUAUCCACCUGGGGAGUACGACCGCAAGGUUGAAACUCAAAGGAAUUGACGG